ACGGGAGGCAGCAGUGGGGAAUAUUGCACAAUGGGGGAAACCCUGAUGCAGCAACGCCGCGUGAAGGAAGACGGUCUUCGGAUUGUAAACUUCUGUUCUUAGUGAAGAUAAUGACGGUAGCUAAGGAGCAAGCCACGGCUAACUACGUGCCAGCAGCCGCGGUAAUACGUAGGUGGCAAGCGUUGUCCGGAAUUACUGGGUGUAAAGGGAGCGCAGGCGGGAAAUCAAGUUGGAUGUGAAAUGUCGGGGCUUAACCCCGGAACUGCAUCCAAAACUGAUUUUCUUGAGUGAAGUAGAGGUAGGCGGAAUUCCGAGUGUAGCGGUGAAAUGCGUAGAUAUUCGGAGGAACACCAGUGGCGAAGGCGGCCUGCUGGGCUUUAACUGACGCUGAGGCUCGAAAGUGUGGGGAGCAAACAGGAUUAGAUACCCUGGUA
rnacentral:rRNA from 1 species